rnacentral:rRNA from 1 species
UACGUAGGGGGCAAGCGUUGUCCGGAUUUAUUGGGCGUAAAGAGCUCGUAGGCGGUUUGUCGCGUCUGCCGUGAAAGUCCGGGGCUCAACUCCGGAUCUGCGGUGGGUACGGGUAGACUAGAGUGAUGUAGGGGAGACUGGAAUUCCUGGUGUAGCGGUGAAAUGCGCAGAUAUCAGGAGGAACACCGAUGGCGAAGGCAGGUCUCUGGGCAUUAACUGACGCUGAGGAGCGAAAGCAUGGGGAGCGAACAGG